rnacentral:rRNA from 1 species
CCCGGCACAAGCGGUGGAGCAUGUGGUUAAUUCGAUGCAACGCGAAGAACCUUACCUACUCUUGACAUCCAGAGAAUUUGCUAGAGAUAGCUUAGUGCCUUCGGGAACUCUGAGACAGGUGCUGCAUGGCUGUCGUCAGCUCGUGUUGUGAAAUGUUGGGUUAAGUCCCGCAACGAGCGCAACCCUUAUCCUUUGUUGCCAGCGAGUAAUGUCGGGAACUCAAAGGAGACUGCCGGUGAUAAACCGGAGGAAGGUGGGAUGACGUCAAGUCAUCAUGGCCCUUACGAGUAGGGCUACACACGUGCUACAAUGGCAUAUACAAAGAGAAGCGAACUCGCGAGAGCAAGCGGACCUCAUAAAGUAUGUCGUAGUCCGGAUUGGAGUCUGCAACUCGACUCCAUGAAGUCGGAAUCGCUAGUAAUCGUAGAUCAGAAUGCUACGGUGAAUACGUUCCCGGGCCUU